ACGCUCGACACCUACGGGGGGCAGCAGUGGGGAAUAUUGCACAAUGGGGGAAACCCUGAUGCAGCGACGCCGCGUGAGUGAAGAAGUAUUUCGGUAUGUAAAGCUCUAUCAGCAGGGAAGAAAAUGACGGUACCUGACUAAGAAGCCCCGGCUAACUACGUGCCAGCAGCCACGGUAAUCUGAGCGGGCUGGCAAGGC
rnacentral:rRNA from 1 species